GUUAUGGAGACAUCCGAUAAAAUUGGAACGAUACAGAGAAGAUUAGCAUAGCCCCUGCGCAAGGAUUACAUGCACAAAUCGAGAAAUGGUCCAAAUUUUU
rfam:Oryza meridionalis cultivar OR44 (W2112) chromosome 3, whole genome shotgun sequence.